rnacentral:rRNA from 1 species
GAUGAACGCUGGCGGCGUGCCUAAUACAUGCAAGUCGAGCGAAUGAUGAGGAGCUUGCUCCUCUGAUUUAGCGGCGGACGGGUGAGUAACACGUGGGUAACCUGCCUGUAAGAUGGGGAUAACUCCGGGAAACCGGGGCUAAUACCGAAUAAUAAAAGAGGAAGCAUUUCUUCUUUUUGAAAGUUGGUUUCGGCUAACACUUACAGAUGGGCCCGCGGCGCAUUAGCUAGUUGGUGAGGUAACGGCUCACCAAGGCGACGAUGCGUAGCCGACCUGAGAGGGUGAUCGGCCACACUGGGACUGAGACACGGCCCAGACUCCUACGGGAGGCAGCAGUAGGGAAUCUUCGGCAAUGGGCGAAAGCCUGACCGAGCAACGCCGCGUGAGCGAGGAAGGCCUUCGGGUCGUAAAGCUCUGUUGUCAGGGAAGAACAAGUACGAGAGUAACUGCUCGUACCUUGACGGUACCUGACCAGAAAGCCACGGCUAACUACGUGCCAGCAGCCGCAGUAAAAC